UCUUGAGAAAGACUGCUGGAGAGCUGAGCAUUGGGAGCGUAGAAGGGCUGGUGGAAGGAGUACAAAAUCUGCCACAAUAGAACAGUGAUCCAUCUAGUACAUUAUCCAGUCUCCAAUAAUGUGCAGUGCCUGAUGCUUCAGGAGAAAGGAUAUCUAUUGUUUAAUCUCCAGACAGGAACUACCAGCUGGCAAAUGGCGGAUCGCCUCUGAAUUUAAGCAGAUUUAGUAGGACUUCAGUGGAUGUUUAUAGUGCUUAAGCUAAUUGGAAAUAAGAUUUACAAUGCUUCUUUUAACCAAUGCCAUUCUAGAUUUGGAGGAGGGAAUUACUGAGACCUUACUAAGACUAUCAUCUAAUUUGCUCAUGAGUAUAACCUCUUGAGCACACAGAGUUGCCUCUACUAAUCUAGGUAACACAGUAUGUUUGAUCUUUAGGCUAUUACUUCACAUAGUAGUAAUGGAAUGAAAGGCCCCC